CCCCUCUCGUUUUCUCACACAAACCCUUUCACUCUGCCCUUUCAUUUUCUCACGCACGGCUGAUGCUCCACCACGACGGUCGAAGCUCCACCACGAACGUUGGGCUUUGUGUGAUUCUAUCAUUAUCUCUGCUGAUGGAUUCUGUGGUGACCGACUUUUUUCUCAAACAACGGUUUAUUGCAAGGAUUUCUUCUUACAGCUUGUGUUGGAGGGGCUCAGUUGUCAAGUUAUGCCAGUUUCUUGAGUAAAGGAGAUAUUGCCUCAAGUAUUCUCCUUACCAGCUUCACCACCAUCUCUUCCGUGCUUCUAACACCUUUAUUGACUGGCAUUCUGAUUGGUUCGGUUGUUCCAGUUGAUGUCAUUGCCAUGUCAAAGUCAAUACUGUAGGUAAUGGUACUUCAGUGAAUGAUUGUGUAGUAGAUGUGAUCCAUGGAUUUCAAACAACAAAGUCGAGCACGAUUGUAGUACAUACUUCUUUCGUUAAUUUUGUUUAGUAAGGAAUCAUUUCGUAGAUAAAAACUUUAGUUGAUGUCUGAAAUUAUGAAUGCAAAAAAUUAGUGCAGAAAGAUCUUGAUAUUUUGGGUUUCUCAUUAUUUAGGCAUCUAAUUGUACGAGGGAGUUGUUCUAGUCGUCAUAGAAAGAAACGCUUCUUAGCAAAUGAGUUAGUUAAACAGAAACUUCUUUUAUGGAGGUUUCUUGUGUGUGUUCUUUUCCUUCUCUAAUUCUCAAUUAAGUUUUGUAUCGUUAUUUCACAUAUUUUCUUCUUGCUGAGUUGUAACUAAAUUUUAUCUCCUCUUGCUACGAUCAAGAAAUGUUGUCUUUUUAGAUUUCAAGGCAGUCUGAAUUUUACUGACAAAAUCAUAAAUGUUUGGUUAUUAAUGUUCUGGCAUUGUUAUAGGUUGUUCUUCUUCCGGGUUGAAAAUCCUAAUGAUAAGGUAAAAUUUACAUCUCU